CUCAAAACCACUUUACAGGAAGUCCUUCAGCACAGAGCAACUGAGUCUGUUUUUACCAGCCCCUCUUUCCUUCUGUGCUUCCUGAUUAAAAACAUACAUUACGUUAUCGAAACAGAAAGUAUAUUUCUGUUUUGUUGCCAUUUUGAGCAAAGCAGGGUAGAUGCAGUCGGGUACAAGUAGAGAGGGAAUAAACUUACUCCUCCAUUAAAAACACACUGAAGUGUGGUAAUUGUGGAAGGUGGCUGGGGGAGAGAGCAAGAGGUUUUACCAGAAUUCAGACUUCAGACCACUGGCUGUAGAGUCUGAGAGACUGAAAACAGUUUAGGGAAGAUUAUAAGAGCAGAAGGACUUCAGGGGAGACUUCACAUCACCCUGGGUUGUGCAUGUAUCAAAUUCAUGUCCUUGAGACCCUCUGCUGAUCGUCAGGAGGGGAACAGCUUCUGAAAUGAGUCUCUCUGAGGAGCCUGAGGCUGAAGAUGGAGCACUGGGCCCUGAAAUUGAGAGGGUCAAACUCCAGAGAUCAGAGUCACCAGUGCCCAGCUGUGUGUCCAUAAAUAGUGACUAUUCAAUGGAUCGACCAAUACAGUUCAGAGCUGGAGACUUCAAUCAUGACCUGAGGUGAGGUCACUGUUGUCUGUAGAGUGUAUCUGUCAGCAGGUCAUGAGAUAAAAUUGUGUGAACUGGAUCACCUCUCACUUUCUUAUUUCCUAUGUUCUAUGAAAAGCUUAAGAAGAAUAAAAUCCUGAAAGCUGAAAAAUGCUGAAAAUAAAAACAAAACUCUACAGCCAGUAUUUUCUCAUGACUAAGGGGUGAAAGAGUGUGUAUCCACUGCAGACAUGAUCACAGACACACUCAGGUGUGGAGGAACAGUGAACUGUAACUGAACACAGGAGUGACGAGCAGCAGAAUAUAGAACCUGGAUUUCUCAAAACAAUUCGAC
rnacentral:lncRNA from 1 species